UAGGGAAUAUUGCUUAAUGGGCGAAAGCCUGAAGCAGCAACGCCGCGUGCACGAUGAAGGUCUUCGGAUCGUAAAGUGCUUUUUUAGAGGAUGAGGAAGGACAGUACUCUAAGAAUAAGCCUCGGCUAACUACGUGCCAGCAGCCGCGGUAAAACGUAGGAGGCGAGCGUUAUCCGGAUUUACUGGGCGUAAAGCGUGUGCAGGUGGUUUGGUAAGUUGGAUGUGAAAGCUCCUGGCUUAACUGGGAGAGGUCGUUCAAUACUGCCAGACUUGAGAGUGAGAGAGGGAGGUGGAAUUCCGGGUGUAGUGGUGAAAUGCGUAGAUAUCCGGAGGAACACCAGUGGCGAAAGCGGCCUCCUGGCUCAUUUCUGACACUCAUACACGAAAGCUAGGGUAGCAAACGGG
rnacentral:rRNA from 2 species